rnacentral:rRNA from 1 species
GGGUUGUGAGGUUAAGCGACUAAGCGUACACGGUGGAUGCCCUGGCAGUCAGAGGCGAUGAAGGACGUGCUAAUCUGCGAUAAGCGCCGGUAAGGUGAUAUGAACCGUUAUAACCGGCGAUUUCCGAAUGGGGAAACCCAGUGUGACUCGUCACACUAUCAUUAACUGAAUCCAUAGGUUAAUGAGGCGAACCGGGGGAACUGAAACAUCUAAGUACCCCGAGGAAAAGAAAUCAACCGAGAUUCCCCCAGUAGCGGCGAGCGAACGGGGAGGAGCCCAGAGCCUGAAUCAGCAUGUGUGUUAGUGGAAGCGUCUGGAAAGGCGCGCGAUACAGGGUGACAGCCCCGUACACAAAAGCGCACAUGCUGUGAGCUCGAUGAGUAGGGCGGGACACGUGGUAUCCUGUCUGAAUAUGGGGGGACCAUCCUCCAAGGCUAAAUACUCCUGACUGACCGAUAGUGAACCAGUACCGUGAGGGAAAGGCGAAAAGAACCCCGGCGAGGGGAGUGAAAAAGAACCUGAAACCGUGUACGUACAAGCAGUGGGAGCACCCUUUGGGGUGUGACUGCGUACCUUUUGUAUAAUGGGUCAGCGACUUAUAUUCUGUAGCAAGGUUAACCG